CCGUUGUGGGAUGUCGAUUAUGCUACAUAUGGCUCAAUAUGAAGAUUUGAAUUGGCCUUCAACAUGCGUUGCAAUUGAAGUUCCUCGCCUUGGUAUCCAUUUUUCUCCUACAAGAUACCUUAGGCUGCUCUAUCUUCUGCACGCUCUGGAGUCGGCUGACCGGUCCAGCUCCCAGCCGAACGCUUUAUCUUGGCAACCAUCAGAGGCAGCUGGAGAUGCACGAGUGCUUAAAUUGUUACUUUCCUCGCCCAUCAGCGUCUAAGCAUCACUCAUUCUGCAGGGAAUUGGUAAUAUUACUGCAGAAUGGCAGCCUUGUUGGAUUGCGUUGGCAGGGCCAUACCUGUACGUUCUAGAGGCAGAAGACUCAAAGAACAGCCCACAUCAAUGCAUGAGCUACUCCUCAAAGGACAGGAGGAAAGCCUCCUCUACCCUGGAAAUCCCAAGCUUUUGGAGAAGAUCACACUCUAGAGUCUCUACUGCAAUGAAAGGCCCAUGACAUACUGGAAA